CACUAAAACACCAGUUCCAGUACAAUCACUGAAGUUAAGCAAAAUUGAGCCUGGUCAGUACCUAGAUUGGUCACCACUUGGGAAUAACAGGUGCUGUA